AUUGAACGCUGGCGGCAGGCUUAACACAUGCAAGUCGAACGAGUGGCGGACGGGUGAGUAAUGCUUGGGAAUCUAUCUUAUGGAGGGGGAUAACUACGGGAAACUGUAGCUAAUACCGCGUAACACAGGAUGAGCCCAAGUGGGAUUAGGUAGUUGGUGAGGUAAAGGCUCACCAAGCCGACGAUCUCUAGCUGGUCUGCGAGGAUGACCAGCCACACGUGGACUGGGACACGGCCCAGACUCCUACGGGAGGCAGCAGUGGUGACUAUUGCGCAAUGGGGGCAACCUGACGCAGCCAGGCCUCGUGAAGGAAGAAGGCCUUCGGGUUGUAAAGUUCUUUCGGUAGCGAGGCGUUAACUACAGAAGAAGCACCGGCUAACUCCGUGCCAGCAGCCGCGGUAAUAC
rnacentral:rRNA from 1 species